rnacentral:rRNA from 1 species
UACAGAGGUCCCGAGCGUUGUUCGGAUUCAUUGGGCGUAAAGGGUGCGUAGGCGGCCCGGUAAGUCAGUGGUGAAAGCCUCCAGCUCAACUGGAGAACUGCCAUUGAUACUGUCGGGCUUGAGUACAGACGAGGUUGGCGGAAUUGAUUGUGUAGCGGUGAAAUGCGUAGAUAUUGGGAGGAACACCAGUGGCGAAGGCGGCUCACUGGACUGGUACUGACGCUGAUGCGCGAAAGCGUGGGGAGCAAACAGG